UCAGGGCGUGGCUGAGCUAGUUAAGCAUCUCACUUACACCGAGAAGACAUCCA
rnacentral:tRNA from 6 species